rnacentral:lncRNA from 1 species
CUCGCCGGUGUGGAUGCGUUGGUGGGUGACCAGGUUGGAGUUCUGGCUGAAGCCCUUCCCGCAGGCCCCACAGGUGUAGGGUUUCUCCCCGGUGUGGGUGAUGCGGUGCCUCACCAGGUCCGAGCUGCGGCUGAAGCCCUUCCCGCACUCCCCGCAGAUGGUGGGGCGCACGCGGCCGCCCCGCAACCCCAGCAGCUCUUCCAGCGGCCCCAAAGCCGGCGGGUGCCCCAAAGCUCCGCUCCGGGACUGCGCUGCUGCUGCUUUCCGACGCCGCUUUGCAGGGCGACCCGGUGCCUCACUGCCGGGAUGGGCUGUGGCGGUGCUCUCGGGGUCCCGGGGGGGGUCCGGGCCUGAGGGCCCCCCCUCUGCGUCCAUCAUGCCCGGCCGGGAAACGCGGGGCCAGGGGGCGGCAGUGGGGGCUCCAGUGAUGGCGCAGCUGUUGUCCCCCGACCGCCCCCCCCCCGCAAAAAAAUACAAUGCACCCGCAGCGGGGACGGGGACGGGAGCCCCCAGCCGGGGGUUGCGGGGGGACCCCGGCGUGCGGCCCCGCGUGGUGCUGGGGGGGGUC